rnacentral:lncRNA from 1 species
UAGUUUUGAAAUGAAUUUUUAUUUUUGAAAAAUAAAAAAUAGAGAAAAAUAUAUUUCUUCUGUUUUCAUUGUUUUUAUUUCUCUUAUAUGUCUUGAAAAAGUAACUAAAUGUUAUCUUAAAUGAUGUCCAAAACUCAUUGUAUCUUUCUUCGACCCGAACAAGCUACGACUUCAAGGUAACGAGAUUACAAUGUCGUUCACAAUCUAGUAGGAUUGAUGUCUUUUAGAUAGGGCUAAUGACGUGGAAAGAGUAAAGAAAAGACUUCUGUCUUCAUCUGCUAUAUAAUCAAUGGUUUUUUUUUUUCUUUCUUUUUUGGGAAAAAUAUAUUAUUUAUAGGCAGGGUGGAUGGUUUUAAACGCAAACUCUGCUUCAUAAUUUUCUUAUCAAGACAUGAUCGUAAUUCAAACAUGCUGACUAUUAUUGUAGAAACAUGUCGGGGGUACUUGACAUUGUUGCUUCUUGAUGUAUAUCUGAUUUUGGGGAUAAAAAGUCUUGCUUACAUCAAGAAUUUUGGGGAAAAUUUUCAACUGAAGUUUUUCCUGUAGUCUCAUCGUAUCACUAGUAGGCAAUAUCAAAGAGAUGGAUGAACUUUUAUGCCAAAUGGGGCAAUUAUAUCCUCAACUUUCAUUGGUACAUUCUUGAGUUUAAUUAAUUUGCAAAUCAAAAUUUAAAAUCAUUGAUCCACUCUCAUUGUUCCAAAAAACUUAGAGACCGAAGUUAAUAAGUUAUGGACCUUAUGGUCUAUCAAUCUCUACAUAGGGCGGAGUUGCAUAGAGUAGAAGGGGGUCAAUUGCCUUCCUCAAUUUUUCAAAAUAUUUAUUCUCCGUAUGUUCAUGAUCUAAGAUCUUCUUGGAUAUGUGACUCUCGACUCACUUGUUUAUCAUAAUAGUACCAACUUAGUAUUAAUGUGCUGUAGAAUAAUGAUCUAAUCAUGUGAAAUGAUCUAAGAUCUUCUUGGAUGUGUGACUCUCGACUCACUUGUUUAUCAUAAUAGUACCAACUUAGUAUUAAUGUGCUGUAGAAUUAUGAUCUAAUCAUGUGAAAUGUGCUGUAUGAAUAGGGACAUUGUAAGUAGUUAUUGUAUACAAGUUCGAGAACUUGGGUUUCGAAUACAAGAACUGAUAUCGGAGAGCUUAGGCCUCGAGAAGGAUCAUGUAAAGAAUGUCUUGGGUGAACAAGGGCAACAUAUGGCUGUAAACUUUUAUCCUCCAUGUCCAGAGCCAGAGUUGACUUUCGGAUUGCCAGGACAUACCGACCCCAAUGCCCUCACUAUUUUACUUCAAGACCAAUCAGUAGCAGGCCUUCAAGUCCUCAAAGACGGGAAAUGGGUAGCUGUUGAUCCUCAUCC